CCUACGGGUGGCAGCAGUGGGGAAUAUUGCACAAUGGGGGAAACCCUGAUGCAGCGACGCCGCGUGAGUGAAGAAGUCAUUCGUUAUGUAAAGCUCUAUCAGCAGGGACGAAAAUGACGGUACCUGAGUAAGAAUCCCCGGCUACCUACGUGCCAGCAGCCGCGGUAAUACGUAGGGGGCAAGCGUUAUCCUGCUUUACUGGGUGGAAAGGGAGCGUAGACGGCAGUGCAAGUCUGGAGUGAAAGGCGGGGGCUCAACCCCCGGACUGCUCUGGAAACUGUACGGCUGGAGUGCAGGAGAGGUAAGUGGAAUUCCUAGUGUAGCGGUGAAAUGCGUAGAUAUUAGGAGGAACACCAGUGGCGAAGGCGGCUUACUGGACUGUAACUGACGUUGAGGCUCGAAAGCGUGGGGAGCAAACAGGAUUAGAUACCCGAGUAGUC
rnacentral:rRNA from 1 species